UACAGAGGGGGCAAGCGUUAUUCGGAAUUAUUGGGCGUAAAGAGCUCGUAGGCGGUCUGUCGCGUCUGCUGUGAAAACUCAGGGCUUAACCCUGAGCUUGCAGUGGGUACGGGCAGACUAGAGUGCGGUAGGGAGACUGGAAUUCCUGGUGUAGCGGUGAAAUGCGCAGAUAUCAGGAGGAACACCGGUGGCGAAGGCGGGUCUCUGGGCCGUAACUGACGCUGAGGAGCGAAAGCAUGGGAGCGAACAGG
rnacentral:rRNA from 1 species